UACGGGAGCCAGCAGUGAGGAAUAUUGGUCAAUGGGCGCAAGCCUGAACCAGCCAUGCCGCGUGAAGGAAGAAUGUCCUAUGGAUUGUAAACUUCUUUUAUUUGGGAAGAAACCCCUCUACGUGUAGAGGUCUGACAGUACCAAAGGAAUAAGGACCGGCUAACUCCGUGCCAGCAGCCGCGGUAAUACGGAGGGUCCAAGCGUUAUCCGGAAUCAUUGGGUUUAAAGGGUUCGCAGGCGGUUCAUUAAGUCAGUGGUGAAAUCUCGAGGCUCAACCUCGAAACUGCCAUUGAUACUGAUAGACUUGAAUAUAGUUGGAGUAGGCGGAAUGUGUAGUGUAGCGGUGAAAUGCUUAGAUAUUACACAGAACACCGAUAGCGAAGGCAGCUUACUAAACUAUUAUUGACGCUCAUGAACGAAAGCGUGGGGAGCGAACAGGAUUAGAUACCCUGGUAGUCCACGCCGUAAACUAUGAUUACUCGUUAUUGGCGAUAUACGGUCAGUGACUAAGCGAAAGUGAUAAGUAAUCCACCUGGGG
rnacentral:rRNA from 1 species